AAAGUUGUUUCUGUCAAGUCGCCCCCUCAUCCUCUUUCACGGCUCCCGUCAAGUGCAGCCUCCACGUCUCCAACUGGCACGCACAACUUGCAAGUCGACGAGAUGACGAAGUUCCUGAAGCCCGGUAAGGUGGUCAUCGUGACGGCUGGCCGCUACGCCGGCCACAAGGCGGUGAUCGUGCAGAACUCUGACAUCGCGACGAAGGAGCGCCCGUACGGCCGCGCGCUGCUUGCGGGCAUCAAGAAGUACCCGAAGAAGGUCGUGCGCGGGAUGAGCAAGCAGACGAUCGCGCGCCGCUCGCAGGUGGGCGUGUUCCUGCGCGUUGUGAACCACAAGCACUUCCUGCCCACCCGCUACAACGUGGACAUGUCGAAGGAGCUGCGCGGCAAGAUCAACGUGUCUGACGCGUCGAAGCGCUCGCGCUCGAAGAGGCUGGUGAGGCACGUGUUCCAGGCGCGCUACAACGCCGGCAGCAGCAUGUGGUUCUUCCAGCGCCUGCGCUUCUAAGCAGCAAGCGCUGCGUUCACCCACUGGAGGCCGCCGCCGCAGCAGAAGUGGGUACGUAGCUGCACAGGGAUGGGUCAGGGAGGGGGUCUGACGUCGGUUUCUCUUACUGUCCCCACCUCAUCCUCUCCUGAGUCCCCCGCUUCCUUCGCAGCCGUCGCUCUGCACCCCAUCUGCGCGCGUGAGCGUGGCUGCAGCGGCAUGCGCGGCGAGACAGGCGUUGCAACUUUAGCCUUUUUUCCUCUUCUUUUGCUGAUUGCCUCCGUCUUUCACUCACCCUCGCAGGGAGGACACGUGGCGGUCGAUCUUUUCUGUGUUGCGUGGGGUCAUUUUCUUUAGCCUUCCAAACGACUUGCCUACUCGGCAGACGAGCAUGCGACGCAGGCGUCGCAACCAAACGCAGAGGAGGCGAUGAUAAAGGCCGAGUGGACGGCAAGGCGGAGCAGGACGCGCCUAUCAGCGAGCGGCACGGAUGCGUAUAAUGCUUGCUUGCUUUGCCCCCUCCCCUUCCCUCUUCCCUAUGUGACACUCGGAGGUGGCUGUCGCCACAGCCCCCUCCCCCUCCUUUACUUCUCGCUCACUCCUCUCGCUACACUGCGAGCUUUCUGGCCGGCCGGAGUCCUCGAUGCCCGUGCACGUUUAUGUUUUCCGUAUCGUUCCACCUCCUCCGUUGUACUCUUCGCUCUCGAAUGACUGCAUACGCGCACCUACUCCUUCUUUGGUCGUUGUUCAUCUCUUCGACAUCGUGACGAGUGCCGUCCUCCACACUACGCUAUCCGUGCGCUCCAG
rnacentral:misc_RNA from 1 species